rnacentral:tRNA from 1 species
AGCCCUGUCGUCUAGUGGUCAAGGAUAACACGCUCUGGCCGUGUUGACCCAGGUUCGAAUCCUGGUGGGGCUA